rnacentral:rRNA from 1 species
AGCGCAGGCGGUGCGGCAAGUCUGAUGUGAAAGCCCGGGGCUCAACCCCGGUACUGCAUUGGAAACUGUCGUACUAGAGUGUCGGAGGGGUAAGCGGAAUUCCUAGUGUAGCGGUGAAAUGCGUAGAUAUUAGGAGGAACACCAGUGGCGAAGGCGGCUUACUGGACGAUAACUGACGCUGAGGCUCGAAAGCGUGGGUAGCAAACA